AUUGAACGCUGGCGGCAGGCCUAACACAUGCAAGUCGAGCGAGCGGCGGACGGGUGAGUAAUGUAUGGGGACUGCCCGAUAGAGGGGGAUAACAACUGGAAACGGUAGCUAAUACCGCAUACUAUCGGAUAACCCAUAUGGAAUUAGCUAGUAGGUGGGGUAAUGGCUCACCUAGGCUACGAUCCCUAGCUGGUCGGCGAGGAUGAUCAGCCACACGGGGACUGAGACACGGCCCAGACUCCUACGGAGGCAGCAGUGGGGAAUAUUGAACAAUGGGGGCAAGCCUGAUGCAGCAAGGCCGCGUGUAUUAAGAAGGCCCUAGGGUUGUAAAGUACUUUCAGUCGGGAGGCGUUACCGACAGAAGAAGCAACGGCUAACUCCGUGCCAGCAGCCGCGGUAAUAC
rnacentral:rRNA from 1 species